rnacentral:rRNA from 1 species
GUGAACGCUGGCGGUCGGCCUAACACAUGCAAGUCGAACGGCAGCACCGUAAGAGCUUGCUCUUACGGGUGGCGAGUGGCGGACGGGUGAGGAAUACAUCGGAAUCUACUUUUUCGUGGGGGAUAACGUAGGGAAACUUACGCUAAUACCGCAUACGACCUACGGGUGAAAGCAGGGGAUCUUCGGACCUUGCGCGAUUGAAUGAGCCGAUGUCGGAUUAGCUAGUUGGCGGGGUAAAGGCCCACCAAGGCGACGAUCCGUAGCUGGUCUGAGAGGAUGAUCAGCCACACUGGAACUGAGACACGGUCCAGACUCCUACGGGAGGCAGCAGUGGGGAAUAUUGGACAAUGGGCGCAAGCCUGAUCCAGCCAUACCGCGUGAGUGAAGAAGGCCUUCGGGUUGUAAAGCCCUUUUGUUGGGAAAGAAAAGCAGCAGGUUAAUACCCCGCUGUUCUGACGGUACCCAAAGAAUAAGCACCGGCUAACUUCGUG